rnacentral:lncRNA from 1 species
GAAGUGUGGGAAUAGAUACAAGUGGAAAAGAAGUGGCAAAAGAACUCCAAUUGCCAUGGUAACUCGAAUGCUGAAUUUUGUAGUCAAUUUGGUCGAAAUGAACCAUAUGAUGUCAAAAUGAAAAGGAAUUGCUUCCAAAUUAAACUGGUAGCUUGUGAAAGUCCCUUGGCAUGUUUUGAAAGUGUUCGUGUUGAAAUCGGAGCAAAAACAGAAGAUUUAGAAUUUUCUGUAAAAAAUGGGAUUGAAAAAUUAGCAGAAAAUGCACAGUGUCAGAAAAUUAUGAAAAUUGGCGGAGAUGUUAGGAAUAUUUGUAUGAGGCUAGAUUUAAAGUUUCAGAUUAUUCUGACACCCGUAGAGAGAGAAAUUUGAUCCGAAAGCUAUCGGAUAAAGAUUGCAGUUCGGUACAGUUCGCAGUGACCAAACGGGGUCGAAACUGAAAUGUUAAAAUUUCUUUGGACUUGUUAAGUAAAACCGAACAUGCCUGUCAAAUUUGAGCUCAAAUGGACUUUUAGAAGAGCCUGCAAAAGGUAUCUAAUCCGUGCGACUAAACGGAAUUAAGUCGAUGGGCAAUUU